rnacentral:rRNA from 1 species
GACGAACGCUGGCGGCGUGCCUAAUACAUGCAAGUAGAACGCUGAAGGAGGAGCUUGCUCUACUGGAUGAGUUGCGAACGGGUGAGUAACGCGUAGGUAACCUGCCUGGUAGCGGGGGAUAACUAUUGGAAACGAUAGCUAAUACCGCAUAACAGUAGAUGUUGCAUGACAUUUGCUUAAAAGGUGCAAUUGCACCACUACCAGAUGGACCUGCGUUGUAUUAGCUAGUUGGUGGGGUAACGGCUCACCAAGGCGACGAUACAUAGCCGACCUGAGAGGGUGAUCGGCCACACUGGGACUGAGACACGGCCCAGACUCCUACGGGAGGCAGCAGUAGGGAAUCUUCGGCAAUGGACGGAAGUCUGACCGAGCAACGCCGCGUGAGUGAAGAAGGUUUUCGGAUCGUAAAGCUCUGUUGUAAGAGAAGAACGAGUGUGAGAGUGGAAAGUUCACACUGUGACGGUAUCUUACCAGAAAGGGACGGCUAACUACGUG